UCCGAGUUGUCCCCGGCAGUCUCCCACGAGUCCCCGGCAUUACCCGCUGGCAACAUGGGACAAGGGUUGCGCUCGUUGCGGGACUUAACCCAACAUCUCACGACACGAGCUGACGACAGCCAUGCACCACCUAUCACGGGCCCCGAAGGACACCGUAUUUCUACGGCUUUUCCCUACAUGUCAAACCCAGGUAAGGUUCUUCGCGUUGCCUCGAAUUGAGCAACAUGCUCCGCCGCUUGUGCGAGCCCCCGUCAAUUCCUUUGAGUUUUAGCCUUGCGGCCGUACUCCCCAGGCGGGGCACUUAUUGCGUUAGCUACGGCACAGGGCCCGUUGAAUAAGCCCCACACCUAGUGCCCAACGUUUACGGCGUGGACUAC
rnacentral:misc_RNA from 1 species